GACUCCAAUCGAGGUUGAGUG
rnacentral:misc_RNA from 1 species